ensembl:lncRNA LINC00632 long intergenic non-protein coding RNA 632
GCUGCUGUUUGCCCCCACUCCUUCAGUGCGACAGACAGCCUCAGAGCUGGUGGGGAGACAGCAUGCCACUGGAAAAAUUCGUAGACAUGGAAUUCCUGGAUCAAAUGAUACUAAGGGGGACUUGCCUGGAAGCAGACUUGUGUCCGCAGUAUACAAACUCACCCUUUAAUGCACACACUGACCAGAUAACACAAACACAUUUACCCCCACAGCACCUAGACUCUUCUCACAGUACACACACUUGCCUUCCAGUACACAGACAUAUCCAAAGGCACACCGACAAGCACCACAGCAAAAAGAUGUUCCCCAGAACACAUGGACACCCCAAUCCCCGUAUCAUUAGACUCUCCCAGAGGCACGUAUGUACUGCUUAAUGCAGAGACUCACCUGAGGCACACUGAUGCACCCCGCAUGACACAGACUUGCCCCCCCAUAAGGACUCUACUAUGACACACAGACAAUCCCAACAUCACACACUGUUCCCACAUCACACGAACCCAUUUUAGGAAACACACAGCAUACAGACUUACCCCAUAGAACACGGCUUCCCCGACAAGCACACAUACUCUCAAGGCCAGUAGACUCACCCCACAGCACACAGACUUUCUCUAGAGUGUACAGCUUCUUCCCACAGCAAACAGACUCUCCCCAGGGCACACAGACACCCCUGACAUCACAUACUCUCACCACAGACCAUAGACUCGUCCUAGAGCACAGGGACUCUUGCCAAUGAAACAGACUUUCCCGAGAAUAGACUCAUGAGACAGCUUGAAGACCCGCAUCAUGACACAAAGACUCUCCCACAACAGACAGACUCACCCCAUUGUGUACAGACAAGCACCAUAGGCCACAGACCAUCACCUCAGGACACAGACUUGCCCAGCACCACACAGACACUCUGCAGAGCACGUAGAGUCACCCCGCAAAGCACAGACUAAACCCAUACUACAGAGACUCUCCCUAUAGCUUUCAGACAAGUUUACCCCACCACAGAGACAUGCAACGGUACAUCUUACAACAUAUAUCACUCCUUGAUGCACACAAUUGUGCCACAGCACACAAACUUGUCCUACAGUGCACAAAUUCAUGUCACAAAAGACACACUCACCACACAAUACAAAUACUUGCUCCAGCCGGACGCGGUGGCUCACGCCUGUUAUCCCAGCACUUUGGGAGGCCUAGGCAGGUGGAUCACCUGACGUUGGGAGUUCGAGACCAGUCUCACCAACAUGGAGAAACCCCGUCUCCACUAAAAAUACAAAAUUAGCCGGGCAUGGUGGUGCAUGCCUGUAAUCUCAGCUGCUCCGGAGGCUGAGGCAGGAGAAUCGCUUGAACCCAAGAGGCGGAGGUUGCAGUGAGCCAAGAUUGUGCCACUGCACUCCAGCCUGGGCAACAAGGGCAAAACUUUGCCUCAAAAAAAAUAAAAAAAUAAAAAAAAAAACAACCCAGCAACAAAAACAAACAAAAAAAAACAAUUACUUGCUCCAGAGUUCACUCAUUUGCCCUAAAAUAUCUAGACCUUACCCCAGAGUUACCACACAAUGCAUGCUGUGUCCCUGCAUCACCAAAAUACAACUCAAACUCCUCAGACACACUCUGAUAAAUAGACAUACCUGACAAUGUACAGCUUGGCAUCAUAGCAGGAAAAACUGGCUCUACAACAGAUUUAUUCUACAACAGACACACUCAGGCUGUAGAGACACCUAAUCUUUCUUUAAGGUAUUCAGACCCACCCUUUUGGGCACAGUCACAGAUGUGAUCCAGGAUACCCUCACCCAUCCCACAAUACUGAUGCAACCCACAGCGUACAAACACAUCCCACAGCAUAACACUCUAAGCCCACAGUGCUCAGAAAUGUCAGGCACACAUUUGCCAUACAGAUUUACUUCACACACAAAAAACACAGCCAGGUGGGUGGCUCAUGCCUGUAAUCCCAGCACUUUGGGAGUCCGAGGCGGGCGGAUCACAAGGUCAGGGGUUCAGGACCAGCCUGUCCAACAUGGUGAAACCCCGUCUCUACUAAAAAUACAAAAAAAUUAGCCGGGCAUGGUGGCACAUGCUUGUAGUCCCAGCUACUCGGGAGGCUGAGGCAGGAGAAUCACUUGAACCCAGGAGGUGGAGGUUGCAGUGAGCCGAGAUCAUGCCAUUGCACUCCACCUUGGGCAACAGAGUGAGACUUCGUCUAAAAAAAAAAGAAAGAAAGAAAGAAACAAACAAGAAAACAACAACAAAAAACACUUCUUAUAGUGCCUAUACAAUGCAAACAUGUAUCCCAAAAUAUAUGAAACUAUUUGCUAUGUCACUCUUAGGUUUACCCCAAAGCACAUAGACCGUUUUCACUGCUCAAGCUGCUGCCUACAAAACAGGAGAUGCCAAGCCAUGCACAGAAAUUCACCAAAAUGCACAGAUUCACCUAUCAAUAUACAUACUUGCCUCACAACUCACACAAACACCACCGAGCACUGAGACUCACCCUAAAUGUACAGACAAGCCCUUCAGGGCACAGACUUACUCUGUAACAUACUAAAUCACAUCCCCCAUACUUAGAUGUGCCUUAUGAUUCACAGUGAUGCGUGUAAACACAUAGAUUGCUUCCACAAUGCACAGAAUUGCAUCAUAACACAGACUUACUCUACAGUGCAAAACUGACAGUGCACAUAAACAUUUCCCAGUCGGCUAGACACACAACACACAUAUUACUCCUACAAUGUAAAGAUUUCCAUCACGGUGGACAGACGUGCUUUUCCAUGCUGUUGAGCUACAACUCUGGCCUACAACAACAGAAAUACAGCUUGUGUAAUAGUUACCAGCAAGGCCUCUAGACCCAUACUAACUGGGUUUGAAUCAAGGUCCCGUCCCUUGCUGAUUGUAUCACCUUGGGAGGAGAUGGAAGAUUGAGAGCAGAGUGCAAGAAUGGGAAGAGGGCUUCGUGCCCUGUGCACGUUUGCCACCUAGUGACCAAACUGAAUGGUGUGCUUCUCACCUCAGCGUGAUAGCCUGACCUUGACUCCUGAGUUCCACGAUCGCUUCACAACUGCAAGUCACCAUCAUACAAAAUUUGAGUUUCCCUAAGUCCGCGCCUUUGAGAGCUUUGGAACGAUAUGCAAGUUCAAGUCACCAUCCUGUUUCUUGCUACCUCCUGUGAGAAGACCAACAUUUGGGUUACACUUGUUUCUACUCUUGUUCUUCUGCUUGUUAUUGUUGCCUCUGCAGCCAUUGAUCACACACGUGUUGUCAUACAAAAACUGGUUAGCCUUUUUAUUUGUCUUGUGAAUUUUAUCAUUUGGUUCUUAAGUAUUACAAAUUAAUAUUGUGUACUCUCAUUGAUAUACAACUUGCAGUCAUUGUAAAUAUGCGUGAGUUAGGGGUGAGAAUGGCAUGCAAGCAAAAGAACAAGGAGAGGGAUGAUAGAGAUGCAAGAAGAGUAAAGAGGGCAAGAAAGUUUAUGUUAAUAGCGAACACAAUGAAAGUUCUUUAAAUGCUUGAUAAUGGUGAAAGCAACACUUCCUAGGGCAUAUUUUUGGUGUUAAUGAACCUACACAUCAUACAAUAAAGAAAAUUGAGAAAGCAGUUGGGGCCAGUGAAUCGGGGGCACACAAGAAUCACUGAGAAAAUCAUACACAACUCAAAAUGCCACAAUAGGGAAAAUAUAAAGAGAUUUGCACUUGUGGCUUCUAAAACAGAGAAGGUUGAAUAGGUCUCUUUCUGUGUGUAAAAUCUGCCAGUGAGCAUCACAAAAAUGCAAAUUUAAAUUUCAAUCUGGAUGGAAAGUUAUAAAAUUCAUUGCAAGUAAUGGGUGGUUGGGUAGGUUUAAGAAAUGCCAGGUGGGUGGAUCACUUGAGGUCUGGAGUUUGCAACUAGCCUGGCCAACAUGGUGAAACCUUGUCUCUACUAAAAAUACAAAAAUUAGCCAGGAUUGGUGGCGGGUACCUGUAAUCUCAGCUACUCAGGAGGCUGAGGCAGGAGAAUCGCUUGAACCUAGGAGGCAGAGGUUGCAGUGAGCUGAGAUCGUGCCAUCGCACUCCAGCCUGGGUGACGAGAGCAAAGCUCUGUCUCAAAAAAAGAAAAGAAGAGAAGAGAAAAGAGAAGAGAAGAAAGAAGAGAAGAGAAGAGAAGAGAAGCUGUGGCCUGUAAUGAAAAGAAGUGGAGAAGUGACUGUCAGAGGAAGCAGAUUAAGGAGCUGCCGGAGAGUAUCCUGAAUACCUGAAGAAGACGAUUGAGGACAAUGGCAAUUUGCCUGAGCAGGUUGUCAGUGCUGCUGAAACUCUGGAAGCAAAUGCCUACUUGCACAUCUAUUGCAAAGCAUGAGAAAAGGACCAGAGGCUUCAAGCCUGGAAAAGACAAACUCAAAGUUCUGCUUUGUUCCAGUGUGUUCUGAUUAAACCCAUGUUGCUUUACAGAUUCCAAAAUUGUUACCUUCUUUAAAGAGAAAGCCAGAAACACUUUUCUGUGUACAUGAAGGGAAACCAUGAAAUAUGGAUCACUGAGAAACUCUUUUUGAACUGGUCUUUGAAGUGUUUUGUUCUGAGGUUAAAUAACAUUUAAAUGAAAAAAAAAUCUUGACUUCACAGUGUUGUGAUUCUGGACACUGCUCCUACAGACAAAAAUGCAGUCAUAAAUGCUGCUCCUUGUGUUCAAGUCAUCUCCAUUACCCCCAGUACGACUCCACUCCUUCAACUCUUGCAUCUGAGAGUGCUAGCGAUGUACUGUGCUCUGCAUGUAUUUUGACUACCUGAAGAUCUUAUCAGAGACACCAGAACUUUACCAUGAAAGUGGCUUGGCAACAUUUCUCCGUUUGUAAUGCUUUAACAGGUGUAGAAGAAUCAGUGAGACAAAUAAAACAAUCAAUACUUAAUGAAGUCUGGCAGAAAUUUUGGAAUGAGGUUGUGACUGAUUUGGAAGGUUUCCUUCCAGUGGUAGAAGAAAUUGAAAAUAUUGUAACAUCUGCAAACCAUUUGAAUAGUGAAGGCCUUGAAGACAUUGAGUUAAGUGACAUUACUGAAUUGUUAGACUCUCACCUUCAAAAGAUAGUUGAGAAAUAUUUUGGAGAUGUGAUCACAUCAAAAGGCAAUAGAAGAAGCCAGCAUAGGUUAACAUCCAGAACUCUAAGAAUGUUCAAGUAUCUACUCCACAAAUGAAAUUGUCACAAUGAUUCAAAAGAAAGAGAUCCUUUGGUGGGCUACAUAUUGACUUUCAGGGGAGAAGAGGUUGACAUUAGGCCAUGUCAUUCAAACCCGUUCUGCAAACAGGAAAACAGGAAGUAGAAACGCCGCACACAGAUAGUUAAACCUUGGGAUUCAGACUCUGAUGGCUCUGAUGAUAUGGUGAUUUGUGUGCUGGGGAUGAAAGAGGAGCAGAAGACUGAGCUUACAUCUCUUCAGACGAAAUGCAAUUUUCUCUAUUCUUUCCCUGUUACUAUUGUUACGACCAAGCAUUUUCAUUGAUCCAUUAUCAUCUUCAUCUUGAGAUCACAAAGGAAGUUAAUUGCCUGAUAUCCACUCUUGUUAAUAUAAAAUAUCAAUGAUAUUUAUUUUAUUGUUUUAGUUUGGUGAACAAACUGAUUGUCUAGGCUUUCAUAAUACUCAUGUCCUUGCCUCAUUUUUUCCUAAAAAGUCUUAAAUUCCUCCAACAUGGGUACUCUGAGAGUUUCGGGAACUCAACUAUAGCAUUUAAGGAGUGGGCUGCUACUGUACUUGGCUGGAUAAUUUGAUUUUGUACUCCUGAAAUUUGUUUUAAUUCUGAUUAAGCCUAACUUGCGAUCUCACCAGAAAGGAUUAGUUUGGUAUAAGUUAAAUUAAUUUCUUUUCCAGCAAUUGUAUAUGUUAGCUAUUGGCUGAUCCUGAAAAGCAGUAUAUUUAUGUUAAAUUUCCAGAUUUCCUUUGGUAGCUAAUCAAGGAGGAACAGCUGCUAGAGUUCAUUUUCAUAGAUUCUUUCUGUUCUCAUAUCUGGCCUCCUCAGUGAUUUGAAGAAUUGAAUAUCCUCCAAAAAAUGGAUAUUAUUACCUCCUGUUCUCUGAUGGUGAUGGAGACUUCAUUCUCAGAUUGUUUUUAAAUUCCUUUCAUAAUUCCAUAUAUUUACUUCAUUUGAUUCAAUUGUGUUACAAAAGUUAUUGUCAUGGUUGUUUUAAUUUUGGAUGUUUGGAAUUUUCCAGGCAGAUUUAACAGAGGAAAAAAAACCACAAAGCCAGAGAUACGACGCUGUUAUCUUGUUCUAAGAAUUUUGGGCAAAGGCAUAGGCUGAACCUGCCUGUUCUUUUGGCUGCUUUACACAUUCCCAACUGAUGUCCAUUUUGAACUCAGUUGGACAGUUAUUCUGGGGAAUAGAGAGGAAGUCCAAAUAACAUCGCUGUUGUUUCUGUCUUAAUUGCUGUUUGUGCCGGAUUCACAGCACUGGCCUCAUCAUUAUAUCUGAUAAUGAUGCACAGAAAACCUGAAUAGAGAAAAGAAGAAAGAUAAUUCAUUGGCAUGUGCUUGCCAAAAAGAGACUUUAUAUAACUUGAGAAAGCAUAAAGACAACCUGGAAUGAGGAAAUGUAUGUACAGUAAUGAAAAAAAAAUGCUUUAAACAGCUGUGUCAAAAACUGACAUCAGAGAGUAAAUUGAAUUUGGUUUUGUAGGAAGCAGGAAGCAAGCCCACUCAAACGUUGAAAUUUGGCAUGAGGGAGUCCAGUAACUUUCUCCUCAAUCUGUGAACUAUAUGUG